rnacentral:rRNA from 1 species
UACGAAGGGGGCUAGCGUUGCUCGGAAUCACUGGGCGUAAAGCGCACGUAGGCGGAUCUUUAAGUCAGGGGUGAAAUCCCAAGGCUCAACCUUGGAACUGCCUUUGAUACUGGGGAUCUCGAGUCCGGAAGAGGUUGGUGGAACUGCGAGUGUAGAGGUGAAAUUCGUAGAUAUUCGCAAGAACACCAGUGGCGAAGGCGGCCAACUGGUCCGGUACUGACGCUGAGGUGGCGAAAGCG